rnacentral:rRNA from 1 species
UACAGAGGCCCCGAGCAUUACCCGGAAUCACUGGGCGUAAAGGGUGUGUAGGUGGUUGUAUUAGUCAUUCGUUAAAACCCCGGGCCUAACCCGGGAGAUGCGGGUGAAACGGUACAACUCGAGGGUGUGAGAGGUGCAUAGAACUCUAGGUGUAGGGGUGAAAUCCGUUGAUAUCUAGGGGAAUACCGAAAGCGAAGGCAGUGCACUGGCGCAUUCCUGACACUCAAACACGAAAGCGUGGGUAGCGAACGGG